rnacentral:rRNA from 1 species
UACGUAGGGGGGCAAGCGUUGUCCGGAAUCAUUGGGCGUAAAGAGCGUGUAGGCGGCCCGGUAAGUCCGCUGUGAAAGUCCAGGGCUCAACCCUGGGAUGCCGGUGGAUACUGUCGGGCUCGAGUCCGGAAGAGGAGUGUGGAAUUCCUGGUGUAGCGGUGAAAUGCGCAGAUAUCAGGAGGAACACCGAUGGCGAAGGCAGGUCUCUGGGCAUUAACUGACGCUGAGGAGCGAAAGCAUGGGGAGCGAACAGGA